ACAAAUUUGCUGUUGAUUAUGCAUGCAAAAAAGCUGUGUCUCUAGAGAUUAAUUUCUUUGGAGAUGCAUAACAAACAAGUAACCUGGGGUACUUUAAGGUGAAGUGCUUUACUGUGCUUUGUCUUAGAGCCCUUCUAAUAAUCCCUAUUUUACCAUUUUACCCCUUGAUAAACUAUAAGACUGAUAUGACAUGAUAAAUGCCAAACACUUAAAACUAUAAAA
rnacentral:misc_RNA from 1 species